rnacentral:lncRNA from 1 species
CCCUUGUUCCCCACCCCCCAGUUCCCCGCACCUAACAUUCACACUCACGCCCCCGGGGGUGCGGCCGCCACGUGGGAGAGAGGCGCGGGGGUGGCCUGGGAACCGCACCCCGCUUUUCUCUCCCCACUCUCUGCGUGGGCCCUGCUAGCCACAGGCAGUGGCGACCCCCAAGAUAGACCCACGGCCAUGAGCAACGAACCCGGGAGAGUGCAGAUAACUCUUUCUGGGCAAGGCAGGAGAAGGAGGCUCAGAGUCUCUUCCUCGGUUCCCCUGUCCAGGGGAUCAGGGCUGGCUCUGGGAGGCGCUCAGGUUCCCCCUGAAGCUGCUCAGCCCCGCGGCUCCUCCUCUCGGAGAGGCCGUUGCUCUGCUCCGGGACUGGUCCUCCCCAUGCAUCUCUAGUCCCUGCAGUACAGAGCUGAGAGGUAGAACCGCGGUCCGGUUCCUGAGCCCCCGGCACGGGAUCCGGGCUCGUUGUGGACUCGGCUCGGCUUUACUUAUCCCCGCCCUGACCCGCGCUCUCCUUUCCUGAGGGCCCACCCAUCUCGAUCCUCGGCCACUCCGGUUCCGAUCUGGGGCCUUCUGGCUCCCCGGAAAAGGCGAGGCAGGCAGACGGGGAGGGUGCAAAACGCAAAGUGCUGGAGCUAUGUGCCAGACAGAGCCAGAACCGGGGUUUCCAGGCCCGGCCAAGCUGGGCUGGGGCUCGAUCUCUUCCGUCUCUCGACUAAGUCAGCCCCACCGCUGCAGCCCAGGCUGUCAGAUGGCUGUGCUCCUGAGGCCCUGCCCUUUUGAUGCUAUGAGGCAGGACCCUCCUGUUGGAGCCAGCCCCAGGAAUCUUUGGGGCAGAGCAGCACAGAAGACAAGACCUGUGCCUCUGGAACCACAGCCUGAGAAUCUGACCCGACUCCCAACCCUCUCCCCGCCCCGUGUCUGAAAAUACAUUCAUGCAUCCUCUCUUUUGCCAAGAGAGGGGAAGAUCCACACUUCACCAGCAGUCCUCUGUCCAUUGUUGAUCACUGAGGUGUUCAGAGUUCUGAAGGCUUUCAAAGUUGUUUUCUUUUCCGUCAUUUUGGUCGUCAUGUUAAUUGUUCUCAAGCUGAGCUUGUGUCAACAAUUCUAUGGUCAUAGGGUUGCUGCCUAAGUUUGUGAUCUCAUUGGAUGGGGAACUCCCAGGUGAGUAAACAUCUUCUACUGAUGCAGGUUGGCACUUUCUCUACAAUUUCAAAUCUCAUAGUUGUAUGGACCCCAAAGGAGUAAAGUGACUUGCUCAGGAUCAUACAGCCAGCACGAGUCAGAGACAAGGCUUGAGUCCAGGUUCCAAGACCACCCUUUCUAACCCUAACCUGUAGUGGCUUGAAUUUAAACAAUGCUUUAUGGUAAUCAGAACAUCUGAUGUGAUCCUGGGCUGCAUAAGACAAGGAUAGUUUUCAGGAUGAGGAAGGUGAUGGUCCCAAUGUUCGACCAUCUAUGGAG